GCUGCCCGGGGCUCCCUGGGCUCUCUGGGGCUCCCUGGGCUGUCCCAGGACCCCCGGGCUGUCCAGGAUCCCCGGGCUGUCCCGGGAUCCUCGGGCUGUCCAGGAUCCCCGGGCUGACCGCGGCCACCGGGGGUCCGGAGGGGCAGGGUCCGGACGGCCGGGCCGCUUCCCAGCGCCCCCGUUCCGCCGGUUUUAGAGACAAACGAGGGCUUUUCGGGGCUCGGCGCGGUAAGGUGAGAGCCCGUUUGCCCUUCUGAGCCUUACCGUGACCUCCCCGAGUUACACUUCGGGAAGUUACCGGCGGUAACGCACACAAAUGAACUCCGGGAAAUAACUCGUAAAGUUCCUGGAGUCCUCGUUCAAAUAAUUGCAGCGACGUGCUCCAUCUAACGUGCUCCACUGAUUCUUCUUUAUUUUCACCGCCCUAUAAAUGUGAACACAAGGUAUUCACAGCUGAACUGUGAACUAUUUUAUCCUGCCAAGCCAAGGAGCCGUGGCCCGGCUUUUGUAGCUCCUUUCUGUUGGCAGCGCUGGCAGCCGGCUCCUGGGGCACAGCACCUGCCUGGAAAUAAGAACCGAAGCUCAGCCCCUUGCAAUCAAUCCUUCCCUGGAGCAAGUGGCAGCACAUCAGGAAGAGUGCUGGUGUCACCAGCGUAAAGCCCCUGGCUCCCAGGACGCUGCAGCGGCACCAACUUCAAACAACCUCUAUCCUGUGCCAGAGAAGAUCCCCCAGAGACAAAGGGAGGUGAAGUUCCUCUGUCUCUGGGAAGCUCUCCUGAAAUGGCUGGCGAGGACUGCAAGAGUUUUUUCUUAGCAGCUCACCAACUUCUGCAGAGCCUCUGUUCAAAAUAAAUCCGGAUAUUCCAAAGA